rnacentral:piRNA from 1 species
UGUGUCUAGGUUCUGAGCACUAUCAGUGAC